CCUACGGGAGGCAGCAGUGGGGAAUAUUGCACAAUGGGGGAAACCCUGAUGCAGCGACGCCGCGUGAGUGAAGAAGUAAUUCGUUAUGUAAACCUCUAUUAGCAGGGAAGAAAAUGACGGUACCUCUUGAAUAAGCCAUGGCUAACUACGUGCCAGCAGCCGCGGUAAUACGUAGGUGGCAAGCGUUGUCCGGAUUUACUGGGUGUAAAGGGCGUGCAGCCGGGAAGACAAGUCAGAUGUGAAAUCCCGCGGCUCAACCGCGGAACUGCAUUUGAAACUGUUUUUCUUGAGUACCGGAGAGGUAAUCGGAAUGCCUUGUGUAGCGGUGAAAUGCGUAGAUAUAAGGAAGAACACCAGUGGCGAAGGCGGAUGACUGGACGGCAACUGACGGUGAGGCGCGAAAGCGUGGGGAGCAAACAGGAUUAGAUACCCCUGUAGUC
rnacentral:rRNA from 1 species